rnacentral:lncRNA from 1 species
GAAAAAAAGAAAGAGAAAGGACUAAUUCUAUAUUCAUCUGUAACAAGUAUGCAGUAUUGCUGGUUUACAGUGCGAUGCUUAACGUGACUUCAGCAGGAUUUUCCACGGAAAUCAGGAUGCAAGAUGUUUUACAGCUUUUAUAUGAUUUUUUUUUGAAUCAAUAGAGCUAAUAGAAAUGCAUAAUAAAUCCUUUUAUACUUAAGAAAAGAGGAACUGCAGUAUACCAGAUCAAAGAACAAAUGAAGGCAUUUAGAUUUAAGAAAUUAUCUUUUGAAUUAUGUAACUAUUGAAUUGUGUCAACAUGCUAUUAUUAUUAUUGUUGGCUUUUGGCCAUUAAGAAGAAAUAAGGUUAAUAUUGGAUCGAA